AACGAACGCUGGCGGCAGGCUUAACACAUGCAAGUCGAACGGGUGUAGCAAUACAUCAGUGGCAGACGGGUGAGUAACACGUGGGAACCUUCCUCGUCGUACGGAACAACUCAGGGAAACUUGAGCUAAUACCGUAUACGUCCGAGAGGAGAAAGAUUUAUCGCAAUGAGACGGGCCCGCGUCGGAUUAGCUAGUUGGUGGGGUAACGGCCUACCAAGGCGACGAUCCGUAGCUGAUCUGAGAGGAUGAUCAGCCACACUGGGACUGAGACACGGCCCAGACUCCUACGGGAGGCAGCAGUGGGGAAUCUUGGACAAUGGGCGCAAGCCUGAUCCAGCCAUGCCGCGUGAGUGAAGAAGGCCUUAGGGUUGUAAAGCUCUUUUGCCAGGGACGAUAAUGACGAUACCUGGAGAAUAAGCCCCGGCAAACUUCGUGCCAGCAGCCGCAGUAACAC
rnacentral:rRNA from 1 species